rnacentral:rRNA from 1 species
CCCUUAGAUGUUCUGGGCCGCACGCGCGCUACACUGACGAAUGCAACGAGCUUAUAACCUUGGCCGAAAGGUCUGGGUAAUCUCCAAAUUUCGUCGUGAUGGGGAUAGAUUAUUGCAAUUAUUAAUCUUCAACGAGGAAUGCCUAGUAAGCGCAAGUCAUCAGCUUGCGUUGAUUACGUCCCUGCCCUUUGUACACACCGCCCGUCGCUCCUACCGAUUGAAUGGUCCGGUGAAGCGUUCGGACCGUGGCCUGUGGACGGUUCGCCGUCUGUUGGCUGCGGGAAGUUCGUUAAACCUUAUCAUUUAGAGGAAGGAGAAGUCGUANCA